AGCUUUGCACAGUGGCAGUAUCGUAGCCAAAUGAGGUUUAUCCGAGGCGUGAUUAUUGCUAAUUGAAAAUAAAGCAAAAAAUACCUUUCUAGUUGGGGCCAGUAGGUGACAUAGUGGUUAAGGGAUUGGGCUCCACAUAACUGA
rnacentral:snRNA from 1 species